UCGUCAUCGGGCACUUUGC
rnacentral:miRNA from 1 species